rnacentral:tRNA from 1 species
CGCCGAGUAGCUCAGUUGGUAGAGCGCUUGACUGUAAAUCAAGAGGUCGAUGGUUCGAAUCCACCCUUGGCGA